rnacentral:rRNA from 1 species
UACGAAGGGGGCUAGCGUUGCUCGGAAUCACUGGCGUAAAGCGCACGUAGGCGGCUUUUUAAGUCAGGGUGAAAUCCUGGAGCUCAACUCCAGAACUGCCUUUGAUACUGAAGAGCUUGAGUCCGGAGAGGUGAGUGGAACUGCGAGUGUAGAGGUGAAUUCGUAGAUAUUCGCAAGAACACCAGUGGCGAAGGCGGCUCACUGGCCGGUACUGACGCUGAGGUGCGAAAGCGUGGGAGCAACAGG